rnacentral:rRNA from 1 species
CCUACGGGAGGCAGCAGUGGGGAAUAUUGCGCAAUGGGCGAAAGCCUGACGCAGCGACGCCGCGUGAGGGAUGAAGGUCUUCGGAUCGUAAACCUCUGUCAGCAGGGAAGAACGGUCACUGUGCUAAUCAGCAGUGAAUUGACGGUACCUGCAAAGGAAGCACCGGCUAACUCCGUGCCAGCAGCCGCGGUAAUACGGAGGGUGCGAGCGUUAAUCGGAAUUACUGGGCGUAAAGCGCUCGUAGGCGGUAUGUCAAGUCAAGGGGGAAAUCCCCGCGCUCAACGUGGGAACUGCCUUUGAAACUGGCAAACUGGAGUGUGGGAGAGGAUAGUGGAAUUGCAGGUGUAGGAGUGAAAUCCGUAGAUAUCUGGAGGAACAUCAGUGGCGAAGGCGACUAUCUGGCACAUAACUGACGCUGAGGAGCGAAAGCGUGGGUAGCAAACAGGAUUAGAUACCCGGGUAGUC